AACGUAGGGGGCCAGCGUUGCUCGGAAUUACUGGGCGUAAAGGGUCCGUAGGCGGUGUGGCAAGUCGGAAGUGGAAUCUCUGGGCUUAACCCAGAGGCUGCUUCCGAAACUGCUGUGCUAGAGUGUGAGAGAGGCGAGUGGAAUUGCGGGUGUAGCGGUGAAAUGCGUAGAUAUCCGCAGGAACAUCCGAGGCGAAAGCGGCUCGCUGGAUCACAACUGACGCUGAGGGACGAAAGCUAGGGGAGCAAACAGG
rnacentral:rRNA from 1 species